UUUUUUUUUUUUUUUUUAUCAUUGAGGCAUAUGAUUUCUGGGUUUGGUUUAAUUCGAUGAAAAAUUAAACAGCGUUUCAAUUUUGUUUUCAUUUGUGUUUUCUGAUUAUAUACUUUUAUGGGUUUUAAUUUUGGAUUUAUGCCCUGAAGUUUAUAUGUUAUUUUGUGUAAUUGGAAGUAUAAAUUUGAAUACUUGGAGCUAACGGACGGAAAAUCAAGCGCAGUGGCGUUCUAGGAUUCAUACAGCCGACUCAUAAGGCGUUGUUGUUGUUGUGGAAGUAUAAAUUGGAAUUGUGCCAUUGCUUCUCUGUGGUUUAAGCAACCGUUCUAAAGCUUGAUCCUUCUCAGCAAAGUUGGUUUUGUGCUGUAUGUGGGAUGUUUUGAUGUUAAAAUGAAGCUUGAAAGGUCACUUCUUUUUGGUUUUUAUGGAAGAUGAGGUUAAUUAUUUGGGGAGGAUGGUUAGGGUUCUCAAAUAUUUGUUUUUGUGUGGGAGCGGUUUGGAGUAGCAAAUUUUUGUUUUGUGUUGCAAUAGAUGCGUAAGGGGAAUAUUUCGUAAUAUGAUUGCAUAAUACGUGUGUAAUGUUGUAGGUUUUCUACUGAAGAGGUGUCUGCACAAAAUCAAGUUAAGGCAUCUGUCCAGCGCAAAAUUCGGCAGAGUAUUGCAGAUGAGGUAAGAUGAUUAGGUUCAUAGGAAUUUCACGGAUGCUUUAAGAUACGCUUUACAUAUGUCUGUAACACAAAGUUAACUUCAACUGCAGUACCCGGGACUCGAACAGGUGUUGGAAGAUUUGAUCCCAAAGAAAUCUCCUCUUAUUGUGGCUAAAUGGUUUGUCGCUCUGUUGGUCCUGCUUCUGUGUUUUACUUAUUGACUCAGCUAUUUGUUUCAUGCUGCCUUAUCUCCAUGUAUCUAACAUUGUCUUCCACAUGCUCGACUUUUGCAGUCAGAACCAUCUAAAUCUGGUGGUGGUAAACAACGUGCCACUAUUUUUCAACAUUCGUGAUGGACCGUAUAUGCCUACCCUAAGACUUCUUCAUCAAUGUAAAAGUUUCUUUACCGCCAAAAUGCCUUAUCUCAAUAAGUCUGGUCUAUGAACCAGUUAUGCAAUCCUUGAUUUGCUUCUUCUUUUGAGUGGAUUAUUUUAUUUUUCUCAAAUAAAAAGCUACAUAGUUGGUGAAUUUUCCUUCCAAAUAGUUGUAACUGAGAAAGCUCGGGGUUUCUUACGGGUUUUACAGAUCCAGACAUAAUGAAAAAGUUGCAAGUAGAUAGGGGCGCCAUAAGGUUUGUUCUCUCUGGUGCAAACAUAAUGUGUCCAGGUCUAACUUCUCCCGGUGGUUCUUUGGAUGAUGAAGUGGGUGCAGAAACUCCCGUGGUAGGAGUUUUAUGUCUCUUUUUUUCUUUGUAUUAAUGUAAUGUCAUACUCAUGUUAGAACCUUUUUUUUUUGUUCAAAUGUUAGGUUGAGUUGAUUUAAAUAAUUGUCUUGUCACGAGACGGAAAUGUUGAAGUUCAGUUUGUUUUGUAUGUCUCUGAUUUGUAAAACUGAUUACGCUCAGGCAAUAAUGGCAGAAGGAAAACAACAUGCUCUUGCUAUUGGCUUCACAAAAAUGUCAGCAAAAGAAAUGUAAGUUAUUUUCUUAUUCGAAGGACAUUAUCGUUGCUUCUCCUAGAGUAAUGCCUUGGGUACCCUUAGAAUAUUGAGGACAAGAUAUAUAAUACGAGAGCCUAACUUGCAUUACCGACCUCAAAUCUAGCUUAGUUAUCUGUUGCUGAUUGUCGUAUUUACAAAGUUGAGUCUUCCCCUUGGUUUGCAGAAGAGAUAUCAACAAGGGAAUCGGAGUUGACAACAUGCAUUAUCUUAACGAUGGUCUUUGGAAGGUACGUCAGUGUCUACUUUGUAUUUAUGGCCAUUGCCAGUGUUUUAACUAGUGUUUCGUUGUUAAAUCUUUCGCCUUGCUAUGCAGAUGGAACAUCUAGAUUGAAGAUACUCAAGACUAUCCGUGGUAUCAUCAACAAGAAAUGAAGAACACAUGUUAGUUUCAUCGAUGUGGUCUUGACUUUACUGUUUUUCGGAGUGUUAGGUCCGAGCUUUACAAGUCACGAGUAUACCCUAACCGUAUUUACAUGUUUUGUAUUUGUACGUGGAGUGAUCAUCUUUAUCAAAUUCAUCGUAAGAUGGUCAUAUCCAUUUUGUGAUACAAUUUAGAGGUAUUUUUCUUAUAUGAUGUAAGAGGUGAAUUCCCAACUCCCAAGCAUAUGUUUUGACAUCUUUUCCAGUGAACUAUAUGUCUUUGCGAAGAUAAAUGAACGAAAUUAUGAUUUCCUCUUAGACAGCUGCGUAAUCUUUGAAAUUUCAUCGUGAUGUUGGUCUUCAACGAGGAAUUCCUAGUAAGCGCGAGUCAUCAGCUCGUGUUGACUACGUUCCUGCCCUUUGUACACACCACCCCUCGUACCGAUUGAAUGGUCCGGAAAAGUGUUCGGAUCGCGGCGACGAUCGAUUGCUUGAGAAGAAUGCAAGUGAGGAAAUGCUAAAACUAGCACAUUUCGGUGCUCGCAGAAUAGCAAAGGGGCAACAAACUUUUUAAAACUAAACGUUUUCCGUACUAGAAAUACAUCUUUUACUUGUUUUUCCUACUUCUCGAACUAUCAGGAGAUUUCUGGCUGAUCUUGGCUUCAAAUUUCCUGAUUCGUAGAGCGGCUACAUUGUGGCUCUGGCUACGUCUUUAUCGUUUGCUGCAUAUUGACAUGAACAAAGAAAAGAUCAACAGCGAAGCGAAAAACGAUCCAAGUUAGCAACACUGCAAAAUCUCAUUAUGGCAAUCGAAAUGUGGCGGCAGAAGAAGGGCAUACCUUACAGACAAUAGGCCGGCUGUAAGAACCAAUCCUCCGACGGCCCAAGAAACUCGUUCACUAAAUGGCAUGUCCCUCCACCUCUGCUGGAAUUCAGCCUCAAGCUCUCAGCUUUCUGGAGCACCUCAGAAGGUGAAGCCUUCCAUGAAUCAGCAAUCAAGUCAAGACUGGCUUUACCAACAACAACAACAACAACAAAGCCUUUUCCCACUAAGUGGGGUCGGCUCAAGACUGGCUUUACCGCAGUAGCAAAAUGCUUCUUCGUUGCUCACGGAUGCAUCAUCUUUAACAGCAAAUCCUGCCGCAUGGCAGAACUCUGUGCCAUUAAGAAUCCAUUCCGAGGCCCUGCCGCAAACAUAAUCACUUACUCCACAUGGUGCUAGAACCUGGAAGAAGGUAAUUAAUCAGAAAAUGCAAUUCCCUAAUGCACCCAAAAGAGAUCAGUUUAAUCACCUAUUUAUUUGGUUAUGUCAAAUUAUAAGUCGGUAAAAAAAAUUCCUCGACUGGAAGUUAAAGGUCUCCCACAUACCUGUGUUAUUGCAUCUGUCGAGUAGUAAGCCUCAGCACAAGCCUCAAAAACCCUGUCACAGAAAGAGGCACAUAUAGCUGGAGGUCCUGACUGCACGCCAAUGCAGGGAUCACAGAUGGAACAUUCCAGUAAUUCCCACAAAUGCAAGCACUCUGGGCCAGCUUCCCCUGAUGAAGCCAACUUCCUAACGGAUACCAGUGCAGGCUGUGUCUGGGCUACAUCACAGCAAGUUUUUUGCGGAACACUCUGCAAAGGGUCAGAUCUUUGGGUCCCUUACUCAGAUGUUUUGGAGGUUUUCCCUCGGAAGACAAUGGUGGGAAACGACCGCCUUGAGAAAUGCAUACACUGUCAGGUUUACCUACAACUAAAACAGAUGUAGAUAACGUUUAAUGACCAACUAGCGUACAUGCAAAAAUCAUUUGAAAACCAUGUAAAAACUUCUUUACAUAGGAAUUGAAUUUCUCCAAAAUAAUUUGUUAACUUAAGACUCUUGAAGAUGAUUGCCACUGCGAAACGGAAAAGCCUAAAGUAUUGCCCCACAAGAAAUGCAAUUACGUUCUUGCUUGGGAUUCUUGGGAAGAACCAGAAUUUCUUCUGGUUGCCUUUAAGUUAAAGAGAUAAACCAUGCUUACAUGCAUAAAUCAGAUUACAAGAGCAACACCGAUACGAGGCCAAAUCCAGAAAGCAGAUGCCAUUCUGCUGAUUUAAGGAAACAACAAGCAGAUUGCGUCCAAUUUCCACACCGCUAUGAAAAAUGAACAAUGACCAUGCACUCGUAAGAUGUGAUAAGGCAGUCGGGGCACGCCAAAGACACCUUAUGUCAGCUUCAAAAAAAGAGCAAGCCCCUUCAUGGCUUGUCAACCAGAGACAUAAUUAACAUAGACCUCCACACAAGAUUCUAAAAGACGCUAGCUGUUAGUUGAACGGCAAGCUGGGGCCUAGCACCUAGGUGGCUAGGCGGGCCUAGACGGGCGCCUAGAUGAACAAGACGGAUUUAAGUAAAUCUAUUAUAUUUCGUGUAAAUAAGCGUCUGUUUAUACUUAAAAAAUAUAUAAUUUCAUUAUAAACUACAAAAUAGAAUGACAUAUAUAUUAGGAAGUAUUGGAACAUAAUGAAAACAUGGGGAACAAGCAUAUAAUGGGUAUUCGUUUAAGUAUUCAACAAGUAUCUUACAAUUUAUUAAAAAAAUAAAAUACAAAAUGAAAGUUAUCUAUUUUUUAACCAAAUAAGUCACAACUUAGACAGGUGCCUAGGUGGUCUAGGUGGUCUAGGCGGACGCCUCAACAGGUCUAGACGCUCUUUCUUAAUUUUCAAAGGCUUAAACAUUAAUCAAGGUAGUGACCAACCGCCUAGCACCUAGGUGGGGAUUUUUGGAACAGUGCCUCCACGUCAAACUGAUUCUAGCCUACCUCAACUUCCCUCAACCGAAUAUGUUACAUCCGCAAUGCGGAACUAUAGCUCAUACAAACCUUAUGUUUUGGCACACUGGAGACAGAAGUCUAACCUAGUGUGAGAAAAUGGAAAUCUCACUGUUGCAAUUCUCAUGUCAGAGCAGAUAUCCAGUGAUGUCUGCAUACAGUAGACUGAAACUGUACCGAUCAAGUGCAAAAAGAUGGGACUUUCUGAAUCCUAUCUGGAUUUUUUUUUUUUUUUUUUGAACAUCUAUCUGGAUUUUGACUAAUUCUACAAUCCAAAAAAUAAAAUAAAAAUACAAAUCCAUGAUGUCAUUGUUCUCCUAAAAAACUGAUCGUUUUCGAUGGCUGCAAAGUUGGGACACUACGAAAUCGACUCCAAAACUGUUCGCUGAUUAAUUUCAACACAAAGGUCCCGAAAAUCAAACAAUUAGGAUCUGAAAACAAACAAGAAAAAUGAUAUUAUAUAUAUAUAUAUAUAUAUAUAUAUAUAUAUAUAUAUCUGUGUGUGUGUAUUUAUGUACGUAUUUACCAGUUAAAGAGGGGACGAGUGUAUUGAGAAGGAGCAGCAGGAUCAGAGACGCGCAACCCAUUUUUCAUCACUCGGUGGUUUCUUAGUUCUCAAAAAUUUUAAUUUUAAUUGAAAAAUGACAAAUAAAGUUGUAAGUGAAUAGUACAAAAAAAGAUAAAAAUAUGGUUUUUCAUAAAAAAAAAAUAAAUGGUACCAAAAGUGUUUCGUUAAAACUCACAAACAAAAUCCGAUCCGGUGAGAACGGUGGCUGUGGUGGGUACCCGGUGACCCAAUGUACCACAGGUCUCAGGUCUGCGGUGAUGGACCCAAACUUCUAACUGGGUCGGAAGGGAAACAUGGACUCAGGUUGGAGGCCCAUAUAUGUUGCCCUUUCGUUUCUAUACUUAUUUUUACAUAUUUCUAUAAACAUCCACAUAAAUUUCUAAUAUUUCUAAUUUAUUCCUGCUUAAAAUAGAGAAAUAAAAAUUGGCACCAUUCCAAACCCUUUCUGUUUUUUGGUCAAGGAGGAAUUUUAUAACAAAGUCCAAACGGACGCAGUAGAAAGAUAACAGCUUCAUAAUUGAGGUAGGUACAAAUGAGACGUCACUUGUACAUUCAUCGCAUGAGUAAAGGUUCUCAAUUAUACCUAAAGCAUACAAAAAAAUUACAAGAGAUAUGGCUCGGCCCAAAAGCCGAAGUCCACCCGAAGAGGCCCAAAAGUGACCCCUCCGAAAAAAUCUAAUAACCCUAAAACGAGAAUCACCCACCGCCUCAACCGCCUCACCAUUCCAAACCCUUCUUGAUUCUUAUUCUCCUUCUUUCGCCUUCUCUUAAUUCUUCUCCAAACACAGAUUUGCCAUUGGGCUCCACUGCAUCUGGAAUUGACAGUGCACUGUGCACUGCAACAGUGGCUCAGAAAAGGACGACGCCGUUUCCCAAAUUCUCAGUCAAGCACCGCCUGAAAUCCUUAUGGCCCUAGAGCACCAAGAGGAGGUGGCGGACCCACAUACCAUGGGAUGGCUCUCGUAUGAGGGGUAUACUUAGGGAAUAAAUUUAAUUUAAAUAAUUGAAUAUGCAACGGAAAAAUAAUAAAUAACAUACAAUAUGUUAUUCCAAUAUGCUAAAAAUGUCUCUAUAAUCUUAUCAAAUAGUGCUAAUAGCAUUUUAACAACUACACAACACCAAAGUGCGUCGAAGUGAGGCACCUGAUGAGCCUAAAAACAGAGGUGGAUGGUUUAAGGGUUGCGAUGGAAAGCAAUAUUGGAGCAAAAAAGGGGCAUAAAAACCCAAAUUUUGAGACGAAAGGUCAAGAAAACCAAAAUACAAGGGGUCUAAGUAAAAUACAGAGAAGCUAAGGAGACAAAGGAGAAGGAAAAGUAGUUGGAAUUGGCCAGAGAAGGGGGUUGCCAUCGACCCCCACCCAAAGUAGGUGUUGGUGGCAUUGUCUUCAUGAUUCAGCGUGUCCGUGUUUGUCUUAUCCAUUUUGCUUUAAUGUCUUUGUGUUUUUUAAAACUUCCAUGUUAUGUAUCAUUGAGGGCUUCAAAAAGAAAAAUAAAGAACGGUUAGAUCUUUCAUGUUGCGUUCUAAUUAUCUUUGCAAUGAUUAAAUUUUUUAUAAAACUCCUACUUGAAUGGUAUGUACUAUUGCAGUCGAACUUUUAUUAGUAUUUAAUAUAACAGGAUAGUGUUAUUUACACAUCUGUUUUACCCACACGCAUUUGUUAAUUUUGAACCAUCAAAUUUCUUCAAUUCAUUCGAUUAGACGGUUGGAUAUUGACCUCUCGUUGAUUUCUGUUCUUUGAUAUUUUUCAAUUCAUCUUAUCAGACAUCCGAAAAUUAAAAAAAUGUGUGAAUAUCACACCCCUAAUAAAAAAUGGUGGAUAGCACUACCCUAAUAAGGUUAGUGGAGUGUCAACUUCAUCUCUCGUAUUUUUCCACUCUUCAAAGUGAAGAUAUAUGAAUCUCAUCAUAUAGAUAAGAUUCUGUUAUAAGCUUAUCGUCAUAUCAAUGCUAGGUUAGGUUAGCGGCAGCGGCAUGGUCCCUUUUGGCCCAUACGUCCGUACACAGCUCCGUUAACUUAUCACGGAUGGGCAUUAGGAUAAGUUCUACUAGAUACCAGAAUCCCAGAUGGAAAAUUUAUCUCGUGUUCUCUGUACAAGUUAUACUAACGAGAGCAUCUUUCAACAAUCCAGAUGGAUAAGCAAUAACGGAGUUGUACCAACGGAAAUUUCAAUCGACGUUAGAUUCAUAUCCAUGUUUCUGGCAUCAAGUUAGGGUCUCGGAAAAUAGGGUCCCCUCUGGCAAUGGCCGGAUCGACAUAGAGAUUCGGAUGAUACCAAUAACCUCCGACAGUCCGACUGCCCGAAAAAUACAUGCGAAGGUCUUUCGAGGACUAUCCAAAUGUAUGACACAGACUCAUUAAUAGUAUGAUGAAAUGCCUUCCAAAAAUAUCUUGACAACAUUUGGCUAGACAUGUCAACCAUGCCUAGCCUGAGAUCUCAACAGCACUCGACAAGUUUUUUUGGCUUUGUUAAUACAACGCAAUAACGAUCGGUCCACUAAAUGCUCGACAAAUUUUUACGUGUUACGCGCACAUUAGUUUCUUUUUGUGUGCAUAUUUUUUAAAAUUUUAUUUGUGUUUGUACCCAUGUGUAUGUCAUCAUGUAACAUUGUAUAUUUAAUCAAUGAUAGAAAAAUUACAUAUGGUAUAUUUAUGUUUUAUGCCUAACUUUUGUAUCAUAUAUUUAUAUUUUUAGUUUGUACCCACUUUUAAUUUGCAACAUUUUUUAAAAAAAUUUGUAGUAUUUUCUUUUUAAUUUUAUUUUGUACCCAUGUAUUAAUUUCUUUUAGUGCCUAUAUUUUUUAAGUACCAAUUUUUUUAACACUAUGAAUACAUUCUUUUGUCAUUUAUUAUUUCUUAUUUUUACAUAGUUUUUAUCCAUUUAUUCAAUUAAAAUGUUUGAAUUUUUUUAUUGUAACCGUUUCUAAUAGUAUUAUAACGAAGAAUUUAAAAUUUAUAGGAUAAUAAAUUUCAUAAAAUAUCAAACAAUUAAUAUCAAAACUAUAAAAAAUAUAAAUAUUAAUUGUAAUAUAAUGAGGUGUACAAAGUCAAUAAACUUUAAUUAAACUUUGAAUACCAUUAAAAUUUUAGUCAAAGAAUGUUAAGGAUUAAAAACCGCAUCCAAAAUAUCCCUUAAUUGUAUGACGAAAUGCCUUCCAAAAAUAUCUUGACAACAUAUCUUGACAACAUUUGGCUAGACGUAUCAACCAUGCCCACCCUGAGAUCUCUCGACAGCACUCUGACAAGUUUCUUUGGCUUUGUUAAUAUAAUUCAAUAACGAUCGGUCCACCAAAUGCUCGACAAAUUUUUGCGUAGCCGCGCACAUUAUUCAUCUAAAUAGAACCUGAAUGUUUUAGGCUGAAAUUCUUAAUCCUGAAUCCGCCAGCCAUACGUCCACACUUACAACUACGACGAAUAGCGCCCAUGGAUAAGAUAUCUUUCUACAAACGAGAAGUAUUGACACAAGCACCAGAUUAUAUAGAUCCAGUACCACAUCAUAAUACAUUACACAUGCACGAACUAAUAUGCAGUUUUAUUAUUCAAAAUACAACAGCAGGAACUUGUAAGGGAAAAUUAAACACUCUCUUUACAAAUAACAGCAGAGAUUAUGCAGAUUUAGCAACAUGGAAACCCUAGCAACUCGGAACGAACACACCCAAACCCUAGCAACAGCGGAGAUUCAACCACUAUACUUAUAUAGUCGCACAUGCACUAGAUUGAAACUCAGAACAAACAACACCCAAAACCCUACGUGGAAACCCUAGACAGUUUCUUUUUUCCUUCCAGCCAUGGCUAAACCGUCCACAGAAAACAUGUACAUCUCAUCGCAUGCCGUGAGGAGGGCUCACAUCUCAAAUCUCACGGAUGAUUUCGAUUGGACAAGAACUCAUAUGUCACACGUCGUAAGGAGAACGGGCGCUCCUAGCUCCAGGGACCUCGCUCGCCUUCUCGUAUGCAUCCGAUGCUGACCUUCUUCGAAACCGCCCGAAUGGCUCCCUGCCACCUAAAAACACAACACUCUCAACAUUUGCCUCAUAACACUGCUCGACUCGUUAAAGUCCACUUACUACUCUUUAAGAAUAUUAAAGACUGCUUAUCUCGUUGAGAAUUUUUUAUUGUGUCGGGAACACACCACACCAUCUAUUUUUAUAUAAGUGAUAGAAAUUUUUUUUUUUUUAAGUUAUUAACUUUUUAAUACAUAUAUCCUACUAUUUAUAUAAUGAGACGCGGUACCAACACGUGUGCGAAAAAUCUCUCCAACUCAUUAUAGUCCACACUUACUGCUUUUAAGAAGAUUAGGUCAGAUUUGAUACUAUUCUCAACAAGGGCAUAAAUGUCAAUUAACUAACAAACAUAAACAUCACAAUAUGAACAGCUGCAUGUACCUACACAAAAAUCCAUCCAAAUUCUAGAACAUUGAAAUUUGACUCCACAGCGUGUUAAAUUACUACUACACCCCUUGUCUCCCUGCACAUCCGUGAUGAGUGGAAGCCCCACCAAUACCAUUUGUGGAAACUAGGUCCUCCGUGCAGGGAGCCAGUGGCAUAUCUGACAUUUCAAAU
rnacentral:lncRNA from 1 species